CGCGCCUGGAUUGAUGAGGAGGAGGGCACGCAGAGAUUCUCUCUGUGUGUGCAGGAAUGUCCCCAACAAAGGCUCGGUGCGCAGCUGCUCCUGCUGCAAAUGCCCAGGAGGAGGACCUGAGUUCCCACAGAAGAGGUCUCAGGAGGACAGCAGAUGGAUUCAGCCUCAAGAUCCCUCCCAGUCCUUAGCUAUCAUUUAAAGCGUUAAAAAUCCUUCUGCCCUGGCUCAGACUCCCGAGGACUGAGAGCCCUUUGUGUGCAGUGCUGACAUGGCAGCCUGGCCGUGAAGGCAGGAUUGUACCGGGUCUGGGGGAGAGAGGGGGCAAUGAAUAAACCUCACUGUUUUCCCCCGUAAUUCUCCAGAUCCCGGAGUUCCUCCCAAGCAUGGGGCUGGACAGUCAGUGCCCUAACCCCAUUAUGAUUUUUCCAGGUAUUCCAGUGCAGCACAUUGACAACUCCCCCACCAUUCUGCACAGCUGCCAGAGCUUCCCAUCGCCGCUCCAACAGCUGCUUGUGGGCAGACAGUUGUGCCUCACAGCCAUGACGGCCAUUCCACAGCAUUGCUCCUGGCACACUGCCCUCCCUGCAGCUCCUCACCUGCUGAGGUGGAGGCCAGACCCCCAGUAUGCCCCAAAACUUCCCACAUAUAAAAUGACGAGUGGCACUGACCAGCACUUAAGUUGAAAUGAUGACAAAGCCAAGCUGGGAGUUUGAGGAGGGACAGGCAGGGAAUCCGACAACAAAAAGGGCUUGGGGAUCCUCUCCUGAGUGCAAAUCCAGGAAGAAUUCUGGUGUUUCACCAAGACCUGCCUUUUCCAGCUCCCCUCAGUGCUGAGCAUUACUUAUCACCCCGACCUUGAGGUGGCUCAUCCUCCACUUUGCUUCACUUUGCCUGAGCACAAGGCUCUGAGCCCCAGCACAUGGCCAGGAUCCACGGCCUCCCUGGCACAGCUCUUGGAAGCAAGCAGCUCCAGCUGGAAGCUGAGGCUCACUGGGAGAAUCCAGCCAGGAAGAGGGAAGAUGUUGCUUCCCUCCUGUGGGUCUGGGGAACCUGCUGUUUGCUUUUCUCUCUCCACUCUGACCUUUGCCCUCAUGGGUGCACAUGGAUUCAGCUGCUCAUGGGAGAGAGCAUCCCAUGGCAGCUCUGUUGGGGAGAUAAAAGCGAUGAGAGUAGCCAUCAGUGGGUCCUCUACAUGAUAGAGGCUGGGAGUGACUGCAUCCGGAUGGACAGAGUGGAUUUUGCUGCUGGGAAGGUGAGGGCCGAGCUGCUCUUGGCUGCCCUGGCAAGCUGAGUUGCCUGUGCCAGGAGGGAAUGCACAAAGCAGAGCAGAAAGGGACAGGGACAUGGGCCCCACUGUGUUCCCAUGUCAAAGUUCUUCAAUGAGCUCCCCAUCAUCCCCAUGAUCCUGUCAUUAAGCAAUAAAUCCUAUACAGAAGAGUUGAAAAUGUGUUUCAGUAUUUCUUUAUCUUCAUGCAGCCCUACUACACACUACCUCACCCCCAGUUUCCCACCCAGAGAAGACCAGCAGCUGACACAGGAACUGGAGAGCUCUGGCAAGGUUUCCUGCAGUUUCCAUCUGGUUUCUGACCAUGCCUUGCCCCUCUUUGCCAACGGAGUGUCUCACCCAUGUGCGAGGACCAAGCCCCGGCUGCCCAGGGUGGCAAGAGGAGGCGGGCAGGCUGCCUGGCACAGGGCUGGGUGAGCUCUGGCACUGGAAGCGAUGCCAGCGGAGGGAUUAGGAGAGCUGAACAGGCUCCAUAUCCACAGCAGAGUUAGUUAAAUGGCCCCAGCAACUAGGGAAAUCCUGGCACUUCAUCUGACAAAGACUGGGGGAGAUCAGGCCCUCUCUGUGGCUUCACUUGGAGUCUCACCCUGCCGUGAAUCUGGUUCCUGCUCCACAGAGCAUCCGUGCACUUUUCUCAGAGGGAGAGCCCACAGGGGCAGCAUCUCCUCACAUCCCAAAUGCCCCACCUCUCUGCAGCCAGGGAAUUCUGCCAGGCAGACAUGCUGAGGGCUCUGCAGUGCUCUCCCCUGCUCUCCUCGCAGAAAGCAAAAUGCAUUUGAACAAUGAAAAUGCAUUCUGAGGUGCUUUUCGUGUGUCUGUAGCUGGUCGGUGUGGAUCAUGGCAGUACUGUCCUUAGCCUUGGAGGAACUGCUGAUUUCAACAGCUUUGUAUUGGCUUGCUCAGAAUAAAUUGUGUUUUCUUGCA